UACGUAGGGUGCGAGCGUUAAUCGGAAUUACUGGGCGUAAAGGGCGCGCAGGCGGUCUGGUAAGUUUGGAGUGACAGUGUUCGGCUUAACUGAGCAAGGCCUUCGAAAACUAUCAGACUUGAGCACUCAAGAGGGACAUAGAAUUCCGGGUGGAGUGGUGAAAUGCGUAGAUAUCCGGAGGAAUACCAAAGGCGAAGGCAGUGUCCUGGGGAGUGUCUGACGCUCAGGCGCGAAAGCUAGGGGAGCGAACAGG
rnacentral:rRNA from 1 species